rnacentral:rRNA from 1 species
AGAGUUUGAUCCUGGCUCAGGAUGAACGCUGGCGGCGUGCCUAAUACAUGCAAGUCGAGCGAACGGACGAGAAGCUUGCUUCUCUGAUGUUAGCGGCGGACGGGUGAGUAACACGUGGAUAACCUACCUAUAAGACUGGGAUAACUUCGGGAAACCGGAGCUAAUACCGGAUAAUAUUUUGAACCGCAUGGUUCAAAAGUGAAAGACGGUCUUGCUGUCACUUAUAGAUGGAUCCGCGCUGCAUUAGCUAGUUGGUAAGGUAACGGCUUACCAAGGCAACGAUGCAUAGCCGACCUGAGAGGGUGAUUGGCCACACUGGAACUGAGACACGGUCCAGACUCCUACGGGAGGCAGCAGUAGGGAAUCUUCCGCAAUGGGCGAAAGCCUGACGGAGCAACGCCGCGUGAGUGAUGAAGGUCUUCGGAUCGUAAAACUCUGUUAUUAGGGAAGAACAUAUGUGUAAGUAACUGUGCACAUCUUGACGGUACCUAAUCAGAAAGCCACGGCUAACUACGUGCCAGCAGCCGCGGUAAUACGUAGGUGGCAAGCGUUAUCCGGAAUUAUUGGGCGUAAAGCGCGCGUAGGCGGUUUUUUAAGUCUGAUGUGAAAGCCCACGGCUCAACCGUGGAGGGUCAUUGGAAACUGGAAAACUUGAGUGCAGAAGAGGAAAGUGGAAUUCCAUGUGUAGCGGUGAAAUGCGCAGAGAUAUGGAGGAACACCAGUGGCGAAGGCGACUUUCUGGUCUGUAACUGACGCUGAUGUGCGAAAGCGUGGGGAUCAAACAGGAUUAGAUACCCUGGUAGUCCACGCCGUAAACGAUGAGUGCUAAGUGUUAGGGGGUUUCCGCCCCUUAGUGCUGCAGCUAACGCAUUAAGCACUCCGCCUGGGGAGUACGACCGCAAGGUUGAAACUCAAAGGAAUUGACGGGGACCCGCACAAGCGGUGGAGCAUGUGGUUUAAUUCGAAGCAACGCGAAGAACCUUACCAAAUCUUGACAUCCUUUGACAACUCUAGAGAUAGAGCCUUCCCCUUCGGGGGACAAAGUGACAGGUGGUGCAUGGUUGUCGUCAGCUCGUGUCAUGAGAUGUUGGGUUAAGUCCCGCAACGAGCGCAACCCUUAAGCUUAGUUGCCAUCAUUAAGUUGGGCACUCUAAGUUGACUGCCGGUGACAAACCGGAGGAAGGUGGGGAUGACGUCAAAUCAUCAUGCCCCUUAUGAUUUGGGCUACACACGUGCUACAAUGGACAAUACAAAGGGCAGCGAAACCGCGAGGUCAAGCAAAUCCCAUAAAGUUGUUCUCAGUUCGGAUUGUAGUCUGCAACUCGACUACAUGAAGCUGGAAUCGCUAGUAAUCGUAGAUCAGCAUGCUACGGUGAAUACGUUCCCGGGUCUUGUACACACCGCCCGUCACACCACGAGAGUUUGUAACACCCGAAGCCGGUGGAGUAACCUUUUAGGAGCUAGCCGUCGAAGGUGGGACAAAUGAUUGGGGUGAAGUCGUAACAAGGUAGCCGUAUCGGAAGGUGCGGCUGGAUCACCU